rnacentral:rRNA from 1 species
ACGAACGCUGGCGGCGUGCUUAACCCAUGCAAGUCGCACGGAAAGGCCCUGCUUUUGUGGGGUGCUCGAGUGGCGAACGGGUGAGUAACACGUGAGUAACCUGCCCUUGACUUUGGGAUAACUUCAGGAAACUGGGGCUAAUACCGGAUAGGAGCUCCUGCUGCAUGGUGGGGGUUGGAAAGUUUCGGCGGUUGGGGAUGGACUUGCGGCUUAUCAGCUUGUUGGUGGGGUAGUGGCUUACCAAGGCUUUGACGGGUAGCCGGCCUGAGAGGGUGACCGGCCACAUUGGGACUGAGAUACGGCCCAGACUCCUACGGGAGGCAGCAGUGGGGAAUAUUGCACAAUGGGCGGAAGCCUGAUGCAGCAACGCCGCGUGCGGGAUGACGGCCUUCGGGUUGUAAACCGCUUUCGCCUGUGACGAAGCGUGAGUGACGGUAAUGGGUAAAGAAGCACCGGCUAACUACGUG